UACGUAGGGGGCAAGCGUUGUCCGGAUUUAUUGGGCGUAAAGAGCGUGUAGGCGGCUAGGUAGGUCCGUUGUGAAAACUCGAGGCUCAACCUCGAGACGCCGGUGGAAACCAUCUAGCUAGAGUCCGGAAGAGGAGAGUGGAAUUCCUGGUGUAGCGGUGAAAUGCGCAGAUAUCGGGAAGAACACCCGUGGCGAAGGCGGCUCUCUGGGACGGUACUGACGCUGAGACGCGAAAGCGUGGGGAGCGAACAGG
rnacentral:rRNA from 1 species